rnacentral:lncRNA from 1 species
GGUCUCGAAUCUCGACCCAGCAUCGAUCCACACCCCGACCGUGGCGGUUUUGGCCGCGAGGUUGGACUCAGUAGCGACCCGGAGGCCGUUGGGAAGGGUUGUCACACGAGUCUCCGGAGCGGAGAGGAUAUGAGUGUGGGAGGUGAGGGUUGGGUGCGGCGACCCGUACUUGAGGAAUCGCGGGUCGGGGUUCUCUAGCUUCUUGAGCUUGGAUUGAACAGAUUCAGCGAGACGAUCAUAGAUCAUGACAGAAGGAUCGGGUGGCGAAGGAGUGGUGGGGGGAGGAGAUUGAAGUGGAGAUGUGGCAACAGAGGAGGCCGUUGAUAAAGACCGUACAGUCUCCUUGAGAGAAGAUGGCUUCUGGGACCGCCGGGCUAAAGCUAGCAGGUGCUUGAUCGCCAUGGCUGAUGAGUUGGUU